rnacentral:tRNA from 1 species
AGCAGUGUGGCCUAAUGGAAAGAACACAGCCUGAGAGGCAGAGGACCUGGGUUCUAAUCCCAGCUCUGCCA